AUUCACAGAUAUAAACAAAAAUCAUAAACCCUGCAAGAUCAAGAUCCAUAUGGUGCUAUAUCUAACUCGGUUUCAGUAAUAUAUUUCUUAAAUUUUUCAAAAUCCCAAAUAACAAUUUUGCAUGGUCACAUGCACUUCUACCAUCUGCAUAUGUAUGCAUGUGAAUUUGAGCCUUCCUCGCUUGAUCAUCAUCUCUUCAUGUUAGCCUCCAACUCAGCAGAAUACUGCAGCUACCGUCACAGUUUCUAUAUAUAUGUUGAUUGCUUGAGCAGAGAAGAAUGAGCAAAGAUCGAUUGAUUGAGCACAAGGGAAUUGGUUCUUGGAUUUACAUGAAACGAUCGCCACCGUUAUCACCU
rnacentral:misc_RNA from 1 species